AUACCUUACCUGGCAGAGGAGACCCCAUGAUCAGGCAGGUGGCUUUUCAGGGCGAGGCUCAUCCCCUGCACUCCAGAUGUGUUGAUCCCUGUGAUCUCAAAUGCAGAAAACUCAAAUGCAGAACUUGUGGUAGUAGGGAACUGUGCUCAUUCUUUUUCUUC
rfam:Callipepla squamata strain Texas jcf7180005228962, whole genome shotgun sequence.